AUUUAUUGACAAUUUCAUUAGUGAGGAUGUUUCUAUUGAAAACACAGAGUUAGGAAGUCUUAAAAUGUUCUUGGAAUAUAAAGUAAUAAUACCACCGGCGUUUAUCUUACUGUUUUCGUGUUCUAAGUGCAUGCAUCUAAGUAAAAGGAUCUGGGCUGCAGUCCAGUCUGAGAGAUGCCAGCAAAGGCUUCCUAGGCCAGUUCAGUCCAGUAAAUCCCUCUUCGAUCUUCUCUUCCACACAGACAGCAGUGAUGAGCAUGCCCAUGAACUCACAUGAUUAUUUUGGGGAAAAUGAAAGAGUUGUAUUCUUUUUGAGGUAGUAAUUCCACUUUCAGGGGCAAAUACAUUUUGAUUAUUUUAUCACCCUUCAGUGAGUUGUUUUUGUUCUUUAAUCAAGGAUGUAUGUUUGAAGUAAGAAGUAAAGCAUAAAGUAUACGAUUUUGUGUGUGUGUGUGUUUUUAUCUUGCUAUACCUGUAGGGAAUAUUUAAUUCUGCCUUGGAAGUGGCCAAAUUUGAAGGUGCUGUGAUUUGAACUGUCAGUGGGAUAAGGGGGCAGAUCAAGAAAGCACUCUGUGCUCCAGAAGGAGCUUUCCGGGCCAGCUUUGAGGAUAAGCUGCUGAUGAGCGCCAAUCCUGAGGCAAAAGAAACAUUUUAAUUCACUGCACAUUCCAAAAGCCUUGCAGAAGGCCCUGCCAUUUAAGAACAAGCCCAAG
rnacentral:lncRNA from 1 species